AGACAGACUUUCACCAUGUUGCCCAAGCUGGUCCCACAUUCCUGGGCUCAAGGGAUCCACCUGCCUUGGCCUCUCGAAGUGCUGGUAUUACAGGCAUGAGCCACUAUGCCCAGGCAAUCCUUCAGGAAGAAGACCCUGGCGAAAAUUACCUUGCAUAUCAAGAGUUGGCGGAUGAACACGAAGCAAUCACCUUGGGAAAAGGAGUGAUGAAAGUAGAAAGCACUAAAGAGAUUCUUUAUAGUUCUUGAUGGGUAGCCUGAGUUGCUCUUGCCAUGUUUUUGUUUGUUUUUUUUCACUCCUCACCGUAUCUUUAAAUCCUAUUUUUAAAAAAAGUAAUGAAGAGGUAGCCAAGAUGUUCUUCAACAGAUGAAAGGAUAAAUAAAUGGUGGUACAUCCAGAUAAUGGAAUAUUAAUCAGUUAUAAAAAGGAAUGAGCUACUAAGCCAUGAAAAGACAUGGAGGAAACUUAAUCCAUGUUACUAAAUUAAAGAACCCAAUCUAAAAAGGCUGCAUACUGUGUAAUUCCAAGUAUAUGAUAUUCAGAAAAGGCAAAACUAUGGAGACAGUAAAAAGAUCAGUGGUUUCCAGGGCAGUGAAACUACUAAGUGUGAUACUAUAAUGGUGGAUACAUGUCAGUAAACAUUUGUCCAGAUUCAUAGACUGUACAACACCAAGAAUGAAUGCUGAUAUAAACUAUGGACUCUGGGUGAUACUGAUAUGUCAAUAUAGGCUCAUCAAUUGUAGCAAAAUGCCACUCUGGUGGGGAUGUUGAUGAUGCUAUGCACGUGUGGGGGCUGGAGAUAUAUGGUAAAUCUCUGUACCUUUCACUCAGUUUUUCUGUGAGCCUAAAACUGCUCUAAAAUAAACUCUAUUUUUAAAAAAGGUAAA